GACGAACGCUGACGGCGUGCUUAACACAUGCAAGUCGAAGGGAGUGGCGAACGGGUGAGUAACACGUGAGUAACCUGCCCUUUUCUUUUGGCUAAGACUGGGCAACUGGGUCUAAUACUGGAUGGAUUGGGAUGGGCUCGCGGCUUAUCAGCUUGUUGGUGGGGUGAUGGUUUAACAAGGCUUUGACGGGUAGCCGGCCUGAGAGGGGGGACGGGCACACUGGGACUGAGAUACGGCCCAGAGUCGUACGGGAGGGAGAAGUGGGGGAUAUUGCACAAUGGACGAAAGUCGGAUGCAGCGACGUCGUGUGGGGGAUGAAGGCCUUCGGGUUGUAAACUCCUGUCGCCAGCGGAAUGGUAGUGGGUAAAGAAGCGCCGGCUAACUACGUGCCAGCAGCCGCGGUAAUUC
rnacentral:rRNA from 1 species